rnacentral:rRNA from 1 species
UACAGAGGGUGCAAGCGUUAAUCGGAAUUACUGGGCGUAAAGCGUGCGUAGACGGUUAUGUAAGUCAGGUGUUUAAUCCCGGGGCCCAACCCCGGACAGGCACUUGAAACUGGGAAUCUUGAAUAGUGGAGAGGUCAGUGGAAUUGGGGGUGUAGCGGUGGAAUGCGUAGAGAUCCCCAAGAACACCAGUUGCGAAGGCGGCUGACUGGACACAUAUUGACGCUGAGGCUCGAAAGCAUGGGGAGCAAACAGG